CAGUCUCUCUCUCAAACUCUUUUUUAAUUUCAGGGUCCCGCUAUUUUUAUUCACUACUUUUCUAAUUGGCACCCUCUCUUACGCUCAAAUCCUCUAUCGUCCUCUGUCUCUCGUCCCCUCCCAAUCUCUGACCCUCACUUGCUCCCUCUCAUCUAGAAUCCCUUUUCCUCUUCGUUCUCAGACUUCAUGCCUGCACCAUUCUCUCUCUCUUUUCCUCACAAUCCCUUUUAUAUUCUCAAGAUUUUAGACUAAAAUUUAUCCAAUUGGAGAGCAAGGUGCGGAACCUUCUUCCUCUUUAAACUGAUGGUUCUGAAAACUGAUCGGGAAGAAUCUGAGACAUCUAUCUCCUCGUUCUCAACCUCUAACAGCCUCCAGGUCAGGUAAUCCAUUUCUGCAGACUUGUAUGUCAAUAUAGUUUUUUUGCCGCUCAAUUUCAGCUUAGAGUGUUCCCUCUGGAGAGGCCAGGCUUAGGGUUGAAGGAAAUUGCACAAGAGUACAAUCUGAACUGGAAUUCUUCUAACACUGAAGCGGGCAGUCAUGUAGCAUAUUGAAUUUGGGAUUCUUCUACCAAUCUAGCACUUUACAUCCAACUCAUCAGCUCAUAAGCUGUCUAGCCUAACUAAAUCAAGUUUCUAGACCAUGCUUGACGAGGGUUUUGAAAUGUAAUUAUAGGCAUAGUACAAUUUCCCUCUACUUCCAUUUGGAUAAGUGUAACUUUGACAAUGAAUCUAUUGAUCAUUGUAAUACGUAUGGAGUUAUUUUUUGAAUGAAAAUUCUUUAAUAUGUGUUAUCUUA